rnacentral:rRNA from 1 species
GUAAACCCAAGGUUUCCAGGGGAAGGUUCGUCCGCCCUGGGUUAGUCGGGACCUAAGCUGAGGCCGAAAGGCGUAGGUGAUGGACAACAGGUUGAUAUUCCUGUACUACCGAUAACCGUUUGAGAGAUGGGAUGACACAGUAGGAUAAGCUAAGCACACUGUUGGUUAUGUGUGCCCAAGCAUUGAGGCAGUCAAAGUAGGCAAAUCCGCUUUGAUAAUGCUGGGAUGUGAUGGGGAGCGAAAUUU